rnacentral:rRNA from 1 species
GACGAACGCUGGCGGCGUGCUUAACACAUGCAAGUCGAACGGAAAGGCCCUGCUUGCCGGGUACUCGAGUGGCGAACGGGUGAGUAACACGUGGGUGAUCUGCCCUGCACUUCGGGAUAAGCUUGGGAAACUGGGUCUAAUACCGGAUAGGAGCCAUCUUUAGUGUGGUGGUUGGAAAGUUUUUUCGGUGUAGGAUGAGCUCGCGGCCUAUCAGCUUGUUGGUGGGGUAAUGGCCUACCAAGGCGGCGACGGGUAGCCGGCCUGAGAGGGUGUACGGCCACAUUGGGCCUGGGAUACGGCCCAGACUCCUACGGGAGGCAGCAGUGGGGAAUAUUGCACAAUGGGCGCAAGCCUGAUGCAGCGACGCCGCGUGGGGGGUGAAGGCCUUCGUGUUGUAAACUCCUUUCGCUAGGGACGAAGCUUUGUUGUGACGGUACCUAGAUAAGAAGCACCGGCUAACUACGUG